GACGAACACUGGCGGCGUGCUUAACACAUGCAAGUCGAACGGAGCGAAUGAAAGCUUGCUUUUAUGAGCUUAGUGGCAAACGGGUGAGUAACACGUAGACAACCUGCCGACAGGAUGGGGACAACAUUCCGAAAGGAAUGCUAAUACCGAAUGAAGCGGAGGAGAGGCAUCUCUCUUCCGUGAAAGAUGGCCUCUGAACAUGCUAUCACCUGUCGAUGGGUCUGCGUCUGAUUAGCUAGUUGGUGAGGUAACGGCUCACCAAGGCGACGAUCAGUAGCCGGUCUGAGAGGAUGAACGGCCACAUUGGGACUGAGACACGGCCCAGACUCCUACGGGAGGCAGCAGUGGGGAAUCUUCCGCAAUGGGCGCAAGCCUGACGGAGCAACGCCGCGUGAGUGAAGAAGGUCUUCGGAUCGUAAAGCUCUGUUGACGGGGACGAACGUGCGAAGGG
rnacentral:rRNA from 1 species